rnacentral:rRNA from 1 species
CCUACGUGAGGCAGCAGUGAGGAAUAUUGGUCAAUGGGCGCGAGCCUGAACCAGCCAAGUAGCGUGAAGGAUGACUGCCCUACGGGUUGUCAACUUCUUUUAUAAAGGAAUAAAGUGAGGCACGUGUGCCUUUUUGUAUAUUAUUUAUGAAUAAGGAUCGUCCAACUUCGUGCCAGCAGCCGCGGUAAUACGGAGGAUCCGAGCGUUUUCCGGAUUUAUUGGGUUUAAAGGGAGCGUAGAUGGGUUUUUAAGUCAGUUGUGAAAGUUUCCGGCUCAACAGUAAAAUGGCAAUUGAUACUGGCAGUCUGGAGUACAGUUGAGGUAGGCGGAAUUCGUGGUGUAGCGGUGAAAUGCUUAGAUAUCACGAAGAACUCCGAUUGCGAAGGCAGCUUACUAAACUGCCACUGACAUUGAUGCUCGAAAGUGUGGGUAUCAAACAGGAUUAGAUACCCGUGUAGUC